UACGUAGGGGGCAAGCGUUGUCCGGAAUUAUUGGGCGUAAAGAGCUCGUAGGCGGUUCGUCGCGUCGGCUGUGAAAACCCGGAGCUCAACUCCGGGCCUGCAGUCGAUACGGGCGGACUCGAGUUCGGCAGGGGAGACUGGAAUACUUGGUGUAGCAGUGAAAUGCGUAGAUAUCAAGUGGAACACCAGUGGCGAAGGCGAGUCCCUGGACAAUUCCUGACACUGAGGCACGAAAGCUAGGGGAGCAAACAGG
rnacentral:rRNA from 1 species